CAGGGGCAGAUCUGCACCAACAAUUGAAAGAAAAGAUACCAUCGAGGCUGCGAAAAAAGAAAAAGCAAAGGGGAGAAUAUCGUUUUCGAUACUAUACCAUACCAUUUUUUUUAAAAAGUUCUUCACGAGUUUUUGUAUGUGUGUACAACUUACAUAUAUAAGCUUAUCAUCAUUUUGUGUCUACAUUUUUUUCUCUAUAUAAAAGAAAGGGGGAAAGAGGGGUUGAGAGAGUUUUGGCAGUGGUGGAUGGUUUUGUAAAGAAGAGGAGUGAGGAGAAGAACAUGUUUGAGUUGAGAGAAGGGAGUUGUUAUCCAAAGGCUUUAACGGGAGUGAAUGUGGCUCUUGCUUCUGUCGAUGCCGUUAUUGCUCUUCUUGCUUUUGCUCAGGUAACUCUUUCUUUUAUUUUUGUUCUAGAGGGUUAUAUAUAUAUGGGUUUUUGUUAAAGCUUCUGUCUUUAUCUUUCAAUUGCUGUGUUGGUUGUUCUUUUCUUGGAAUUCUGAAAGGAGAGUAUUUUUUAAUGUGCUAAGUUAUGAAUGUAUUUCAAUUGGGAUUUUGGGUUGUGGUUUCUGGGUUUUUUUUGAAAGGUUUUAAUGGAUUCUGAAUAUCAAUUUUAUUUGUGAUGGACCUUGGAAGGAUGCUCUUUUGGCUAGAUUCGUGCUAUUGGAUUGAAAAAUUGAGUCUUUCUUACUAAAUACUCUUGAUCCAGACCCCACCUGGUGGGAGUAUACUGGGUAGUUGUUGUUGUUACUAAAUACUCUUGACGUAGCUCGUUAGCUUCUACUAUAUGCGUGGUCAAUUCAGUUUAUAAUGCUUCAAUCUUAAGGAAUGUCGCUCAAUUGUCACAAUGGCUAAAAGAUUGUAUUUUUUUCCUAAAUUUUAUCGUGGGUUUGUGCGGAUGCAUUUUCUUGAGACAGUUCCUCUGCCAUUUGUGGUGCUCUCCAGAUAUGGAUUCUCUGAAGCGAGACACUCAUUUUUCAUGUUGAAACUGCAUAUACUACCCACGUAACUAAUUGUUGCUCCUCUUCGCUGGGUCGGGUAGGAUUGAACUUUUUGCAUUGAUCAAAUCAUGAUAGGUUUCGUCAUAUAGUGCAUUUGGAGAGUUUUUGAAAAGGAUUUUCACCAUUUGGAGUGAAGUUACCAGUAGUGAUGCUAUUUAUGGCCACUAUGAUUCCUAUCGGGGUUGCAUUAACUCAGAAGAUUAGUAUCUUUCUCCAUACCAUUUAGAUUCAAAAUUGUUCUGUAUUCAGUGAAUAUGGUUGGUGCUGUAGUUCCAUGCCAUCUAAGAUACUAGCUAGAUUGAAAAUUUUGAAUCUUUGGUAUUCUUAUUCCCACUCGGCAUUUCUUCAGGUAAACAUGAUAU
rnacentral:lncRNA from 1 species